GACGAACGCUGGCGGCGUGCUUAACACAUGCAAGUCGAACGGAAAGGCCCCUUUGGGGGUACUCGAGUGGCGAACGGGUGAGUAACACGUGAGUAACCUGCCCUUGACUUCGGGAUAACUUCAGAAAACUGGGGCUAAUACCGGAUAGGAAUCCUUGCUGCAUGGUGGGGGUUGGAAAGCUUAGGCGGUUUUGGAUGGACUCGCGGCGUAUCAGCUUGUUGGUGGGGUAGUGGCUUACCAAGGCUUUGACGGGUAGCCGGCCUGAGAGGGCGACCGGCCACAUUGGGUCCGAGUGCAGGCCCAGACUCCCACUGGGGGCCGCAGUGCGGAAUUCUGCCCAAUCGGCGGAGGCCGGAUGCAGCAACGCCGCGUGCCGGAUGACGGCCUUCGGGUUGUAAACCGCUUUCAGCAGGGGCGAAGCUUGUCGUGACGGUACCUGCAGAAGAAGCACCGGCUAACUACGUG
rnacentral:rRNA from 1 species